UCUAUCAUGGUGUAGUGGUUUGAGUGUUGGACUACAACUCUAGAGACCAGAGUUCGAAUCCCCACUCAGUCAUGGAA